rnacentral:rRNA from 1 species
AUUGAACGCUGGCGGCAUGCUUUACACAUGCAAGUCGAACGGUAACAGAGAAAAGCUUGCUUUUCUGCUGACGAGUGGCGAACGGGUGAGUAAUACAUCGGAACGUACCCUGUAGUGGGGGAUAACUACUCGAAAGAGUAGCUAAUACCGCAUACAACCUGAUGGUAAAAGAGGGGGACCGAAAGGCCACUCGCUAUCGGGGCGGCCGAUGGAAGAUUAGGUAGUUGGUAGGGUAAAGGCCUACCCAGCCGACGAUCUUUAGCGGGUCUGAGAGGACGAUCCGCCACACUGGGACUGAGACACGGCCCAGACUCCUACGGGAGGCAGCAGUGGGGAAUUUUGGACAAUGGGCGAAAGCCUGAUCCAGCAAUGCCGCGUGAGUGAAGAAGGCCUUCGGGUUGUAAAGCUCUUUUGUUUGGGAAGAAAUCCCUAAGGAUAAUACCCUUGGGGGAUGACGGUACCAAAAGAAUAAGCACCGGCUAACUACGUGCCAGCCGCCGCAGUAAGAC